ACUUAAACUUAUUAAAAAAAGUUAAUAAAUUAUAUAAGUUAUUAUAUAUAUAAAACUUAUAUAUUAGUGCCACUAACUUAAGGCCAUUAAGUUAUAUAUAUAUAAAUUAAAUUAAAAUUUUAAAACAAAAACUGUAUUACUGUACUAGUACUGUGUCAUCUCUUUCGGUAAUUGCGGUAUCACUCCGGUCCAAACCGGUAGCAAGCGGACCGGUGCGAACAAGGGGAAAAUUCCGGCAUUUCGUUUCAGGUAACACCGGUUCCGACAGCAAAAACGGUAUGGAAGUUCCGGUACCGGUUCCAGAUCCGGUUAAAUCGGUCCGGCGUUACCGGUUCCGGUCCAUUGCCAGCCUUAACAUACAUACCUUGUACAUAUAUGCUAAAGAUCUUAUGAUUGCCCACAGUCAUGACCUGCUAGGGACGAGCUCUUAUUCAUGUACUAUAUUAGCGUGGUACCCGAGCGAACUCUUAUCUAUGUACUAAACCGGCAUGGUACCCGAGCCUACCAAUGAAUCAUAUCAACCAAUCCCGUGAAGAUGUCCAAAUACCGGUAUAUUCUAGAAUAAUAACCGAUAUCACAAUCACAACCAGAAUGAGAAUAAGAAAUCAUACUUGUACGGUCAACAUCCCUUUAAUGUAACCUCAUUAAUGUGAUUUAAACCUAGGAUAUCAUUUAUCAGGUACAUUCCUUAAGUAUUCAUUUCAACAAGGCGAAAUGGUCUACUUGACCCUUGUACUUGUUCGAGUGGAUACCUCUACUUAGACUUUUGUCAUCUGAACCCCUCAAAUCAUCAAAACACAAGAUUUUGAACCCCUCGUAUCAUGUGUGUAGCUUAUUCGCCCUAAAAUAAAUGACACUCAGAUCCACAUAACAUAAAUCAAUGUCAUGUCAUAAUUAUAUUUAAUUAUUUUUUAAAAUUAUUAAUCAAUAAUAUUAAAUAGAAAGCAAAAUAUUAUAUUAAAUUUAUCUCGCCUUCCUCCAUCUCCCCCAACCCACAAUCAUCGACACCACCAUCCCUACAAUGACCAUCACCACCAUCUCCACCUCCUUUAUCCCACAACCUACACACAACCUUCCACCACGACCAAAUUCCCUCACGCCAUUUUUCUUUGCUUUUCUCUUCCACACAAUAAUUAGAACAACAAUCAAUACUCCAUCCAUUAACAAUAUCAAAAAACACUCACCUCCAAUUUCAUCUUCCUUGUUCCACAUCAACAUACACCACCGGCCACUGCCGUCUGAUGAACUAAUGCAGAUUGAAGCAACAUGUUGAAACAAUAUUGUCAUGGUAAGGGAUAUGUUGAAGAACAUGGUUAGAUUUGGGGAAUAUGUGCGGUUGAUAUUAUUUGGCUUCGUUGAUGUUGAGCAGGUCAAAUGAGAUGAAAUUUGUGUACUCCAUGAAUAAAAGAUUGAUAAAUUUAAUAUUUUUUCUCUGGAACAAGAAAAGGAUUUUGUUAUUGAAAGAAAAUGAUGCAAAAUCAAAAAGAGGAUUUUUUAAUUCUAUUCGUGUAAAUUAAUUCUCCGUGGAUCUCUGCUUUAUAUUUAUGGAGGAUAUUUUGUAGUGUGAUAAAGAAGGAUUUUGCAAAAGAAUGAUUAGUAGAAGACAAAGAAGAACAAAAAUAUAAUUGAAUAAAGAUUUGGACAAAAAAAUUGAAAGGAGUAGAAAAGUCAAGAAAAAACUCUUUUUUUUGGUUCAAUAGUGGUGAAUUAAAAUGAGGAAGAAGAUGAUUCUUGAGUCGAGAAAAUGAUAUUUGGUGCCUUUUCAGAAGGUUCACACCCCUUACACGUGUAUUACACGCCCUUUCAUCAAAUAUGUCACAUAGGAUGUCAUAUAAAAAAAGUGUUUAAAAUGUUGUAUUCUGAUGGGUUGAAGGGUUCAAAUGACAAAGGUUUAAGUAGAGGUGUCCACUUUACAAACUCGGACAAGUACAAGGGUCCAUCUGAUCAUUUCGCCUUACAACAAUAGACAACCGCCCAUAUACAUGGUCAACUCAAGUUAAUCAAUACAUGUAAGCAACAAUCAUACUUUAACACACUAAAUCACAAGUAGAUAUGAAUCAUUCGUUCCAUUAAUUAUAGCACGUGCGAAGACUAAUUCUCCGCUUAUUCAAGUAAGCAUUAUCAAGCCAUAUUCAUUAAACUCAAGUAAUCAUUUUAGGAGUGCACGUUCAACCAAAUAUAGUCUAAAAUACAGUAAUUCAUUCAUUAAUAAUCUCCCUUUAUUCAUAUCGAAAUCGGGGAUUCCACUAUUAUCUAGCAACCCUUACAUUCAAGUCAUUACUAGGUUCAAGACCCUAUUCUAUUAACCAAUCAUUCAACUUUAUUUAACCUACAAUCUAGCUUUAGUUGUACCCUUUUAUACCUUUUACUUCCUAACCCUUAGCUUAAUUGACCGUAGAUUCUUAAGUCCCCGGCUCCUUGGAUCAUAAUCAGUCCUCAUCACUAGUCUUAAGCAAAGAUUAUCCCAUAUUCCAACAACACAUAAUACCCAGUUUAUCGUCUUAUGAUAAUUAGGCUAAAUAAGUAGAUUGUGAGCUCACACCAUCUCAUUGUCAUCUAUAUUCACAUAAAAGUCAUAUUACAAUCCACCAUAGUCAUACAAACACAAAACAUCCAUCAAGGAUUCAUACAUUCAUGGUUAGAAAAAAAAAGGAUUUAUACAUUAAUAUAUCAACACACAAUUAGGUCCUUAUUACAUUAAAUUCAUGUUUUAUCCACUCAAACUCCAUACCCGCAUGCCUAAGCAUGAUUUCCCUUGUCAGUCUACAUUAUGGAUAUGAUUACUAACCAUAGUCUACUACUCAUAAACCAUAACCUACCUGGGCGUCAAGCUGCUGCAACAAGUAAGCUAUGCCAUGGAUGAUGUUCCUUCUUCUUCACAUUUACCAAGGCUAAAUCAUCUAAUAAUAAAAGUUACGAGAGUAAUUAACUAACUAUACUUAAACAAAAACCUUGGAAAUUCAAACCCACUAAUUUUACCCUCAGUUGUGGUCUACAACAUCAUUCAAGGGUCAAUUACUUAUCAAAAUAGUUUCUUUAAGCUUAACCUAACUCCAUUAAUGGAUUUUUUAGGCUAAAGGUUCCACCUUUAUUAAAUUCAAGGUCCCCAGCUAUCAAUUUUCAUGCUUUAGAAUCACUAAUUGAUGCCAGGGAUUGUUAAUUAACAAUUUAGAAGUGAUUCUAGGUGAUAUUAACCUAACCCAUAGGUUUUCCCCAAAAUAUUCUAAACUUAGGGUUGAAUCCCCCAAGAAUAUCACCAUUAAAGGUUGUUCUAAUGAUUUUAGGAUGUUAAAAGAUUGAAAAAUGAAGAAGAUGGCGGAAGAAACUUACCUCAACGAGGAAUUUCCAACCAUACUAAGAGAAAAUUGCUCCUUUAGGGCUUAGGAUUGAAAUUUUGGAGUUUGAGGGUUGAAUUCGGUCAAAAAUGGGUUAUAAAUUGCUGUAGUGUCGCCAUAGUGACAUGACGUCGCUAUAGCAACUUGACCCGCUAUAGCGCCUUUAGCUUUUUCAGCAUGGAUAGUCUUCAGAGAAAUAGUUAUAACUUUUAACUCUGGUAGCAGAUUGUUGAACGGUUGAUUGCGUUGGAAAGAAGACUCAGAGAUCUUUAAUUUGGUGGGUAUUAGGACCCAUAACACCUUAUAUUCUAGGAGUGGUCGUUUGAAGUUGACCCUAGUUUAAACUUAGCCCGAAACUAAAUCUGUAAGGAUACUUUCAACUUAACUUUGUGCUAGGGGUAUUAUAUGACCUUAGUACAUAUCAAAUGCACUCAUACUAAAAAAUAAUGAUCCUAACACAUAUGAUGAAUGAGAUUCGUAUACCUUUACUGCAGAUAGUUUUAGUAAUGACGGAAUUGGUCGUUACAUCAAAUACCAAUUUAUCACCCGUUCGUUCCCGAAUGAGCAUUGGGUGAAGAGAAGUAUAAAUUAGUUAUUUCCAUCACCAGUCGAGGAGGUAACGUCUAAACUUAGAGAAAACUAAACAAUUAUUACAUCUCACUAUAGCAACCCAAUCCCCUAUAGCGACAUGCUUGUUGCUAUAGCGGCAUAGGCGAGGCAGAAACUAAAAAAUCUUCCCAAACCACUCAAUACUCAAAUUUUUGACAUCUCAAACUAACCCCAUUAUGUUAAACACUAUGUCCAGAGUUCUACUAACCCGAACUCCAUUUUGAAAAUUCCUACGUGUUCUUUAUUGUCGUUGCUAACAUAAAAUCAAACUAAACUUUAUUAUAUCCACCCAAUCCAUUUUUGGAUUGUCCUAGAUCAUACCUCGCUCAGAUUUCGUCCAAGACUAGCUUAGCGUGAAAAUUCUAACUCCCAACCCUAGGAGAAUCUUAACUCGAGAAAUUACAUCCUAAGCGAUGGUAAUAUCACAAAGUACUACGCUGUGUUUUCCCCUCGAGACAUCUACCUUAUAGCCCUUUCACCCUUCCAUGAUCAAUAUAUAAGAAUCGGUUCUAAUUUUCAUUGCUUGUAUCCUUUUAAGCGGAGUCAAGUGACAUCUACUUGCCUAGUUUAGAUACCAGUUGGAAUUAAGAGAUACCAAUUGGACCCAAUCCAAUCAACAACUGAAUAAUCGUACGAGAGGGAAGAAAGAAGUGCCACAAUUUCCUAAAAUACCUCAUAGCUUCCCGAAGAUUAAAUGUGGAUGUCAGCACACCAAUCCACAAGACUCUACUCGACAUUUACUCUUGUACUGGGAGAUUGGUACCCUAAGCUCUGAUAUCAAAUUGUCACGACCCAAAUUACCAGAUCGUGAGGGCACCUACUUUAACCUACCUAGAUAGGGGAAUCCCUUACUACCUGUUCAACAUAACAUGUGGAAAUCUUCGUUAAAUAGAAAUAACCAACCUUUAUUACAACCAGUGGUCAGGAAUGCGCUCGCAUUGUCGGAUAAUGCGAUGAUGCGAAGCAAUGCGAGCCUCUCUCGCUGUGUGUGGCUGAUGCAAGUGCAUCAUGUUGAUUUUAUUUUUAGGGUCAAUUUUAAAUUAAAAAAAGAGUCACUUCACGUUGAUUUUAUAUUUAGGGUCAAUUUUUUUUUUUUAAAAAAGUGUCUACUGCGGUGACUACCACUGCUGCAAUUUUCUAAGGUUAACUUUGAAGUCCACCGCUGCGACUUCUUUUUCACUGCGACUACCACUAUUGCCCCUUCUUUUUCUUCACUAAUUCACUUUAAUGAUGUGCUCGCAUCGUUUCACGCUUUGCGUAAUGUGUGAUGUGGAUCCUUGUCGCUUUUUUCCACACCACGCUUCCCUGAAAAUUGAUUACGACUAUUUUAUUACAAACAAUAAGUGUGGAAAUGUAAACUACCCCUAGGAACUAGUCUAAACAGGUACAAGAGCUUCUAAUCAAGAAUGAUAAGACUGGGCACAACUUUCACUAGGAAUGAGACGAGUAGAAGCUGCUGAAGGAUCGCUAUCCGGAACAAUCAUGAAACCAACACUGAUUCAUGCAAAAGACGAUACCCCAAAAAGGGUAUAGCAAGAGCAAUAUCAUUACAAACAACACGUACUGAUACGUAUCACCGGCCGACCAAGAUUAGAUCACGUAAGCACAAUAUAGAAAUCACGGAAAGAAAACAUGACAACUCAUAUAACAAUUUAAUUCAUAACACCUUCCUCCACUUAUGCUAUCUUUAUCCCCUAUUUUAACUAAGAGUUUUCCAUUCUUAUUCCCGUUGAUCAUUCAUCACCUUCACAUCAAGUGUCGUCCAUCCUAACUCUCACUUGUUUGAUCCCAAUAAUUAUUAAUCAUGGUAAAUGAUUAAUAAUCAUCACCUAAUCAUCACCUUGUAACAAAUACAACGAUGAGCGUACAUUAUGAUAAAUUCUUCAAGUUUAUGCCACUUAGGCUUUUCAAGUAACUCUACAACUGUCACGUCCCAAAAUAAUCUCUCGAUGUGACUGGCACCCACUAACACCACUUGUCAGGAGAACCAAUCUUCCUUACACUUUAUCAUAUAAUAAACUCUAAGGUAUCAUAUAUACAACUUCAACGCAUCAAUAAAUAGGGAAUAUUAGUUUAACAAAAUUCCAUAAGUAACUAUAAAUUCAACAAUCACUCGAGAACUAAUUCUUUGUCCCAAAUCUCACACUAAGACCAUGGAGCAUCUAAAAUAGAGUUACAUGAGUUCAACCUUCGGGCAUGCAAACCCAACGAAAAGAAACAUAACUAGAUAGAUAAAGUUGAAACGAAAGCCUCCACGAAUAAUGCGAAGGUUCACCUUAGGAAUAGAAUCCUUAUGAAGGAACCGUCACCCACUAGCUUCGCCUUGUGCGGUAGUAUCUGCAGAUAUGUAAGUAAAGAGUGAGCUAUAUAUAAAUAUAACUUGGUAAGAUCAUCGGCUCGCUACUUUAAGUACUCCAGGACAAGUAUUAGAAAAUACUACAACACCAAGAACAUAAAGUUAUUACACACAGGAAUUAUAUAAUAAUUAGGUGACCAAUGAGAUCCAACAAUCCUUCAUCAAGAAUCAUAUACCUCAAUACAAUUCAUACAAAGCACUUAUCAUAAUUUGUAAGUAAAGUAAUUAGCUAACAUCAGGAGUUUCGGAAACAAACACAACGCGUAUCAGGGGUAUACACAAUACCCAAGGAAGCAUACACAAUGUGCCAUAUCCAAUCAACAAGCAUACACAAUACUCAAGGGAAGCAUACACAAUGCCCAAUAUCAAAUCAACAAGAAUACAUAAUGCUCAAGGGAAGCAUACACAAUGCCCCAUGUCAAAUCAACAAGCAUAAACAAUGCUCCAAUCUCACAAUAUACAAUCAUAUCACAUCACAAAAUAAUUUAUAACAGGGGAAUUGGUAUUCUUAAACAUAAAGUAUAUACGGCUGGCCUUAAAGAUCGUCGAUUCUGCCAAGCACACGCUCGUCCCAACAUAUGGACCAGGCAGAUAAAAAUAUAUUUUAAAAACAAAUUUGAAAAGCAAGCACCCAAAGCUUGAAGUCUCACUUAUCUCGCUAAUAACAAAUUCCCCAACUUUGCAAUGUGUAGGACAUCAACCAAACGACACCAAUGGAAUCAAUCUAAACAAAAUAUUAAAUUACAAUAUCAGUUAUGCUAUUCGGGGCCAAGUCUUAACAUCCCUAACUUUUAAACUUAGAACUAAACCUUAAUAUCUCACACCUCAUAUAUUAAAUUAGCAAUUAUAAUGUUCCAAUAUGACUGUCCUAACAUGAUACCAACGAUAAGGAAAAGGAAUUUCCAAACAAAGCUUCAACUUUGCUUACUGUCAAUUACUCCCAAUGUUGAAAUUGUGUUUUUUUUUUCUGUUCAUGCUAAACACGUUUGCAUCGUAAUUAUUCCGAUUCUGGAAACCAUCACCAUCACCAAUUCAACUUGAUUUUCCAUUUUUUUUUCUUCCGCAGUAAUACAACCUAAUUCCUUCUUCUCAUUCUCUUUUUUUUCAACUAAUUAACAUUAACUCACCCAUUAAUCAAUACUUAGUCGUUCAUUUAGUAGAAAACAAAGUGAUUUUCAUAUCUUGGCAAAGAAACUUUUUUUUCCUCUUUUGCAUUGUUUUUUGACUCAACAUGCACAACCCAAAAGCCCCUCAACCGCUCUUUCUUUCCUUCAGAAAUAAUGGGAUUAAAUACCCUAAUUUUUACUCCUUGUUGGAACUGAAACGUAAAAAACUGAACAAGGGGAGUGGGUGUGGCCCACUCCUUUUAAACUCUUUUGUUUAAUAUUAAUAAUAUGGACAAAUUACCCAUUUAUCCCUCAUUAAAAAACGUCCAAGUUAUUACAUUUUCCCCCACUUAAAAUAAUGUUCGUCCUCGAAUGUGACAAGAGUCAUACAAGAAACGUCAAAUGAGUAAGGACAUCUAACUCGCACGGACAAGUGAAAAACAAGAUGAACUAUGAACAACCUAGGUAGCUCAAAAAAAUAAAUAAAUCUAAAAACACACCAAUAAAUUCUCAAACAAUAGAAAAGCUGCCAAUAGUAACAUUCUCAGCUCAUGCAUCAUGGACAGUAGCAAUAAAACACAAACACCCAUGAUCAACCAUUUGACGUGCCCUUACAUAAAAUAUUAUCUUUUCUUGAGUCACAACAGUCAUACUUUUCCACACUAAAGCUGGGUAUAAGCUUAACAUAAUCAAUCAGAGCAUAACAUAAUGCCAAUCAAUUCUUAUUCAUAAUCACAUCAAAGUCCGUCAUUGGUAACACAAAUAGAUCAACUAUGGUGUCCCUGCGUUAAACAGAUAUCAUACAAUCUCUAUAAAUUCCAUCCACUGAUAAAGUGUUCCCCACUAUGGUUAUGACCAUAUAUGGCACAAUAACGGUCUCAAUUCUUCUCUCUUAAGAAUAAAGCAAAAUAUGAAGAUAAAAACGAACACGUAGAACAAAGAUCAAUAAGAGAAUAUCCCUCGUGAGAGCUAACAAUAUAAUACCUGUGACUAUUGCAUUAGAUGUCUCGCUAUCUUGUCUAGCCAUCUCGGUGGUCCAUCCCAUGUCUGAGCAACCUGUGCACCCUGUCGAUUCUGUCCAUAAGCACCCUGUGGAACAACUCUAGCCGGCUGAGCUUGGGCUUGUGCUCCUACAACAUUCCCUUGCACCUGAGUAGUGGCUUGACCAAUACUUGAAUCUCCCUUAGGAGAAAAUUUAGCAAUAUGUUCCUGCUCACCAUAAGUAUAACAAGCCCUAUUUGUUCCGUAACAACCACUGUGAAUUCUACCACAAUUGGAACAUCAUAGAUGUUGACUUGAUUGAUAGGAACUGUUACCCUUCCUCUGCAUAUGUUGUUCUGUCCCACGGACUCUGACUGCGUAGGCCUGGACUACCCAUAAUAAAAACUACCAUUUCUCUCAGAUUGAGCACCACUAAACACACCUGAGUUACGUGUUUUUUUGUUUUCUCGAUUAAUCCUUUCCAUCUCAUAAUAGGACUCAGAACAGAGAGCUGUGUCAACCACCUCAGCAUAAGAUCCAUUACGCACAUCUCGUAUCACUGGACCACGAUAACAAGCCUCAAGUCUAUCCACAAAUCGUCUCUCUCUCUGAUCUGCAACCAAAGAUGGAACAUACCUAGACAACUCAGUGAACUUAGUUUGAUACUCAGUAACUAUCAUAGAUCCCUGCCAUAGCUCAUUAAACUGGCAUCUCAUGUCAGCUUGUUUGCUGAAUGGAAUAAAUCUGUCCAUAAACAUGGGUGAAAACUCUGACCAAGUGAUCGGUGGGCUUGUCUGCCCCUCAAGACGGAAGUUCACCAUGCCUAGAGAGACCUUGAGAACAGAAAAGCGGUAAAUUCUACACCACGAGUCUCUUUCAAUCCCAAAGUUGUCAGUAUCUUCUCACAAUGAUCUAAAAACUCUUGAGGCUCAACAGAAGAUGGUGUAGCAUCAAACUCUGGCGAUUUAAGAUCCAUGAAAUCCUUAAGAUCCUUGGGUUGCAACCGAAUGAUCAACUGGUUGAGGUGCUUGAGGAGUCGCAACAUUCAACUGAACUUGUGCCUGUGUUUGCGAAAUUGCCUGAAGAGCUGGAGCUCGACCUUGAUUAGGCACCACUGCCUCAAGUACAUUCAACAUUCUUACCACAAUGUCUGCAGGCAAUGCAAUAGUAGGCUAUGUUGCUCGGACUCGGCUGUUUUGCCGCCGAACCGGAACGGGUGCUUCUGCCGUCUCCGCUUCGGUCAACCGAUUUCGGAGACGUUGACCAAAAUUAAAAAGAAAUUUGAGUGGAAACAUUGAAUAAUUAAUCGGAAACUAACCUGAAAAAAUCCCGAUCAACGACUACCGGAACAGAGACGGCAUUGUCGAUGUGCCAUCGCCGGAAAUCACCGUCGACGUCGCCGUAACUCAUCGGAGCAGUUGUUGGACCACCUCAGGGUACCGGAAAUCAUCAUCGUACCACCUCAGGGUACCGGUUUACAAUGGCGGUUGUCGUACCAGUUGUCGGAGCAGUUGUCGUACCAGCUGUUGUCGUACCAGUGGCCAUUGUCCUUAAUUCUUAUUAUGUAUUUUUUUUUUAAUAACUUAUGUAGAAUUAAAAUAGCAUGAUGGUAAUAGACUAAUUAAAUUAUUUGAUCAUUAGCAGCUUUCAAUUUCAAUGGCGUCUCACUCUCAAUCUACUAGUAGCAAACAAAAGGACAGGAUGGAAUUAUGGUACACAAGGACCGAAAAAAGAUGCGGUGGUUUGUAAUUUUUGUCGACGUACCAUAAAUGGCGGCAUUACUCGAUUCAAACAACACUUGAUAGGUGGAAACAAAAAAGUGAGGAUAUGUCAAUCUUGUCCGGCAAACAUUAGGGAUGAAGUAAAGGCAUUUGUUGAUAGCAAAGCCGCAACAAAUCCAAAGAAUCAACAAUAUAUGCCAUCAUAUUAUAUCGUUGUUGAUGAUGAUGAUAUGAAUGAACUUGAGGAAAUGAUACCUACCUCCAAAUAUCAAAAAAUGUCUUCGAGUGGUGUUAGUGUAUCAUCCUCGGCACAUGUGAUGAAAGGUCCUAUGGAUAAGUUUUAUCCACAAAAGCCACAACAUAACAUCAGCUUUGAAAAGACAGGAGUAGGAGGAGGACGAGGAAUUAAUGACACAAAAAAUCUUAAGGGAACGGGCGGUAAAUGCUUUCGCGGUAUGGAUGUAUGAUGCGGGCCUCCCAUUUAAUUGUGUUAAUUAUGAUUCAUUUGCUAACUUUACAGAAGCGGUAGGACAACAUGGCCCGGGAAUGGAGCCACCUACCUAUCAUGAAGUUAGAGUUUCUCAAUUAAAGAAGGAAGUAAAGAAAGUUGAUGAACUUGUUGAGAAGCACAAGGUGCAAUGGCAAUAGUAUGGUUGUUCCAUCAUGAUGGAUAAAUGGACAGCUCGUAAUGGAAAAAUGAUCAUUAAUAUUUUGGUCAAUUGUCCGAUAGGGAGCAUCUUUCUUGGUUCUGUCGAUGCUAGCAAUGAGUCCACCACUGGCACUAAGAUGUACAGCUUGUUUGAGAAGACAAUUGAGGAUAUUGGAUCGGAAAAUGUUUUACAAGUUAUAACGGAUAAUGCUAGUGAGAAUGUAAAAGCGGGGGAUCUUAUGAGGGCUGUGUACCCACAUAUCUAUUGGACUCCAUGUGCUUCCCAUUGCAUCAAUUUGAUGUUGCAAGACGUAUUCAAGAUUAAUCCAUAUGCCUCAGGUAAUAAUCAACGCCUCUUUUUUUUUACUUAUUACUAAAGUGUGAAUAUUUAUUAAGCUAAUAGUUGAUAUAAUGUCUUUUACAGUUUUUAAAAAGGCCACAAAAGUGGUUUCUUACAUAAGUCAAAGGCCAUUGUUGUUGAACUUGAUGUGAAAAUUCACCAAUGAGAAAAAUUUGGUGAAACCGGCCAAGACAAGAUUCGCAACGGCCUUUUUGACUUUGGAGGCAAUGUACAAACAAAGGAAGAAUUUGAGAACCUUGAUCAUCUCCAAUGAAUGGAGUUCUAGUAAGUUUGCAAAGGAAGUUUUGGGGAAAGAAGUUUCCGCCAUUCUUUAUUCUGCAUACUUUUGGAAUGAUGUAGUCAAGGCUCUUAAAGUUUGUGGUCCUUUGGUCUCGUUCCUUUGCUUGGUAGAUGGGAAAAAAGACCCUCAAUGGGCUAUAUGCUUGAAGCAAUGGAUAAAGCGAAGGAAACUAUUCAAAGGGGGUUUGAUGGAGUUUCGAGGCAUUACGAGAAAAUCCUCGAAAUAAUUGAUUCAAGGUGGACUGACCAACUCAAGCGACCGUUGCACUCCGCCGGGUAUAUUUUGAAUCCGGGAUUGUACCUUUGAAUCCGGGAUUGUACUUUAAAUCAACGAUGAGUGAGGAGAAAAUUGCUAAAGUGUGGGAGAGUUACUACACUUGUGUUGAGACAAUGGUCCCCGAUCUUUCCACACAAGAUUUACUAUUUGCCGAGCUUGCUAAGUACAAGAGUGCGGAUGGAUUGUUUAGUUCUGGUCAAGCUGUUAGAGCUAGAGACGCGAGGUCACCGGUUGAGUGGUGGUCCCUAUUUGGGAGCGGAACUCCAAAUUUGCAAAGAUUUGCCAUGAGAGUUCUGAGUUUAACUUGUAGUGCAUCUGGAUGCGAGCAGAAUUGGAGUGUCUUUGAACAUGUGAGAACCAAGCAAUUAUUCUUCGAAUCUAAUUAGUAACUACUUUAUUAUGUACAAAUUCAUUCCAAGAAGAGAAAUAGGCUUGAGUUAUCGCGUCUCAAUGAUCUAGUGUACGUUAAAUACAAUAGAACAUUGGCAUGUCGCUAUGAUAUUCGCGAUACCAUCGAUCCUAUUAUGUUGGAAAAUAUUGAAGAUGCGAAUGAAUGGUUACUUGUUGGCCCCGAAGAUCAAGAAGAUGAACUAGUGUUUGAGGAAGGGGAUCUUAAUUAGGGUACUGUUGCUAUGACAGCUGGGGCUGAUGAUGAUAUUGUCUAUGGUCUUAGGAGAAAGUCAAGGUCAAGGUCACUUGACAAGGGGAAAGCGACAAGUUCAAGUCAGACUCGGGCCCUAGUUGAUGAAGAAUCCGAAGA